rnacentral:tmRNA from 1 species
GGGGAUGUUUUUGGAUUCGUCAAGAUAAUGGUGGUCUAAUUAGCAUGCCUUGGUAGUGCAAGUAAAAACACUCGAGGUUAAUAAUAACCGGAAACCAAAAUUUUGCAUUCGCUGCUUAAGAAAAAGCUGCGAGCCUAAACUAGAAACACUUACGGUCUAGGGCGGGUACAUAUAGUAAGUUAUAUUUAUAGUUCUGCCGUCUUAAGGCUAUAAAUGAAUUAAUAAGACUAGCUUUUUUAUAAUGUGCUCUUCCAAUAUUUAAAAGUGAAAUCAAACCGAAGAGACAAGCAUGUAGAAUGUUAGAUGCAUUGCUGUUUUGCACAGGGGUUCAAAUCCCCUCAUCUCCACCA